rnacentral:rRNA from 1 species
AACUAGUCAAGUGAACGAAGUCACUUACUUUUGUAUUUCCUUCGGUUGGAUUAGGUACUGUGACGUGAGUGGCGGACGGGUGGAGUAACGCGUGGGUAACCUGCCCACUACAGGGGGAGUAACAGAUAGAAAUGUCUGCUAAUACCGCAUAAGACCACAGCGCGCAUGGUGCAGGGGUAAAACUCCGGUGGUAUGGGAUGGACCCGCGUCUGAUUAGCUGGUUGGUGAGGUAAAGGCUCACCAAGGCGACGAUCAGUAGCCGACCUGAGAGGGUGACCGGCCACAUUGGGACUGAGACACGGCCCAAACCCCUACGGGAGGCAGCAGUGGGGAAUAUUGCACAAUGGGGGAAACCCUGAUGCAGCGACGCCGCGUGAAGGAUGAAGUAUUUCGGUAUGUAAACUUCUAUCAGCAGGGAAGAAAAUGACGGUACCUGACUAAGAAGCCCCGGCUAACUACGUG